rnacentral:rRNA from 1 species
UACGUAGGGGCUAGCGUUAUCCGGAAUUACUGGGCGUAAAGGGUGCGUAGGUUGUUUGAUAAGUCAGUGGUGAAAGUCUGUCGCUUAACGGUAGGAUUGCCAUUGAUACUGUUGGACUUGAAUAUGGAUGAGGUAGGCGGAAUGUGUAGUGUAGCGGUGAAAUGCAUAGAUAUUACACAGAACACCGAUUGCGAAGGCAGCUUACUAAUCCAUCAUUGACGCUGAGGCACGAAAGCGUGGGGAUCAAACAGGAUUA